rnacentral:rRNA from 1 species
GUAUAAAAGAUUAUUUUCAAAUCCAGUUUCAAAAAUUUUUUUAAAAGAAAAAUCUUUUUGUUUUAUUAUAAUAUUUCGAAAAAAUUUAAUUUUAUUAUAGUUAAUUAGUAUUGUGAAAGAACUUUAUUUAUACAUGAAAAAGAAAAAUUUAAUUUUUGUACCUUGUGUAUCAGGGUUUAUUAAAAAGGUAUUUUUAGAGUAAUAUUUCUCGAAUUAAUAAGAUUUAUAAGUUUAUAAUUUUUAAUGUAGAAAAAUUAUUAAUAAUAAAUUUAUAGGAGUGAAAUGUUAGUCGUUUAUUAAUAUAUCUAGUUUUAAAGGAAAUAAAUUUAAUUUAAAAUUUAAUAAAUAAUUUUUUAUGUAAUAAUAAUUAUUUUUAAAAUUAAGUAAUUUAAGGGUUGAGCUUUAAAUUAAAUUUAGUAAAAUAAAAAUUUGUGUUUAAAUAAAAUGAUAGAAUUAGAAGUUUUUAAUGUAGUGUUUAAUAACUAGUUUUUAAAGAAAUUUUUUUUAUAUAUAAAAUUUAUUUUACUUUAUUUACUUUAAUAUUUAUUUAAAUAAUAAAAAUAAAGAAAUAAUGAUAAAAUUAGUAGAUACGUAAUUAUUUAUAUAAUUUAAAAUUAAAAAUUAUAGAUAAAAUUAAGGAAUUCGGCAAAUUUAUUUUUCACCUGUUUAUUAAAAACAUGUCUUUUAAGUUAAUAAUUGAAAGUCGGGCCUGCCCAGUGAUUUUAUUUAACGGCCGCAGUAUUUUGACUGUGCUAAGGUAGCAUAAUCAUUAGUUUUUUAAUUGAAAGCUGGAAUGAAAGGUUUGAUGAAAAAAUAACUGUCUCAGUUUUAAUUUUUUGAAUUUUAUUUUUAAGUUAAAAAGCUUAAAUUUUUAUAAAAGACGAGAAGACCCUAUAGAGUUUAAUAUAUAUUUUAUUAAAUUUUAAAUAAAGGAAUUUGUAUUAUUUAAUAAAAUAAUAUAUUUGAUUGGGGUGAUUGAAAAAUUUAUUUAACUUUUUUUUAUUUUUAUUUCAUAGAUAAGUGAAUUUAAUGAUCCUUUGUAAAGAUUAAAAGAAGAAUUACCUUAGGGAUAACAGCGUAAUUUUUUCUUAGAGUUCUAAUCGAAGAAAAAGUUUGCGACCUCGAUGUUGGAUUAAAAUAAAUUUCUGGUGUAGAAGCUUGAAUAUUAGGUCUGUUCGACCUUUAAAAUUUUACAUGAUCUGAGUUUAGACCGGCGUGAGCCAGGUUGGUUUCUAUCUUUAUUUAAUUUAAAAUAUUUUAGUACGAAAGGACCAAGUAUUUCUUUUAAAAAGAAAAUUUUAGAGAAUAUUAUUAAAGUUUUUUAAAAAAUUAAUUUAUAAUUUAAGAUAAAAUAU